GACGAACGCUGGCGGCGUGCUUAACACAUGCAAGUCGAACGGAAAGGCCCUGCUUUUGUGGGGUGCUCGAGUGGCGAACGGGUGAGUAACACGUGAGUAACCUGCCCUUGACUUUGGGAUAACUUCAGGAAACUGGGGCUAAUACCGGAUAGGAGCUCCUGCUGCAUGGUGGGGGUUGGAAAGUUUCGGCGGUUGGGGAUGGACUCGCGGCUUAUCAGCUUGUUGGUGGGGUAGUGGCUUACCAAGGCUUUGACGGGUAGCCGGCCUGAGAGGGUGACCGGCCACAUUGGGACUGAGAUACGGACCAGUCUCCUACGGGAGGCAGCAGUGGGGAAUAUUGCACAAUGGGCGGAAGCCUGAUGCAGCAACGCCGCGUGCGGGAUGACGGCCUUCGGGUUGUAAACCGCUUUCGCCUGUGACGAAGCGUGAGUGACGGUAAUGGGUAAAGAAGCACCGGCUAACUACGUG
rnacentral:rRNA from 1 species